AGAGUUUGAUCCUGGCUCAGAUUGAACGCUGGCGGCAGGCCUAACACAUGCAAGUCGAGCGGUAGAGAGAAGCUUGCUUCUCUUGAGAGCGGCGGACGGGUGAGUAAUGCCUAGGAAUCUGCCUGGUAGUGGGGGAUAACGUUCGGAAACGGACGCUAAUACCGCAUACGUCCUACGGGAGAAAGCAGGGGACCUUCGGGCCUUGCGCUAUCAGAUGAGCCUAGGUCGGAUUAGCUAGUUGGUGAGGUAAUGGCUCACCAAGGCGACGAUCCGUAACUGGUCUGAGAGGAUGAUCAGUCACACUGGAACUGAGACACGGUCCAGACUCCUACGGGAGGCAGCAGUGGGGAAUAUUGGACAAUGGGCGAAAGCCUGAUCCAGCCAUGCCGCGUGUGUGAAGAAGGUCUUCGGAUUGUAAAGCACUUUAAGUUGGGAGGAAGGGCAGUUACCUAAUACGUGAUUGUUUUGACGUUACCGACAGAAUAAGCACCGGCUAACUCUGUGCCAGCAGCCGCGGUAAUACAGAGGGUGCAAGCGUUAAUCGGAAUUACUGGGCGUAAAGCGCGCGUAGGUGGUUUGUUAAGUUGGAUGUGAGAUCCCCGGGCUCAACCUGGGAACUGCAUUCAAAACUGACUGACUAGAGUGUGGUAGAGGGUGGUGGAAUUUCCUGUGUAGCGGUGAAAUGCGUAGAUAUAGGAAGGAACACCAGUGGCGAAGGCGACCACCUGGACCAACACUGACACUGAGGUGCGAAAGCGUGGGGAGCAAACAGGAUUAGAUACCCUGGUAGUCCACGCCGUAAACGAUGUCAACUAGCCGUUGGGAGCCUUGAGCUCUUAGUGGCGCAGCUAACGCAUUAAGUUGACCGCCUGGGGAGUACGGCCGCAAGGUUAAAACUCAAAUGAAUUGACGGGGGCCCGCACAAGCGGUGGACCAUGUGGUUUAAUUCGAAGCAACGCG
rnacentral:rRNA from 1 species